AUGGACUGGAGCUGGAACUUUUUCCUUCUGGUAGCAGCAGCUACAGGUGUGCACUGUCAGAUAUUUCUGCAGCAGUCUGGGGCUGAGCUGGUAAAGCCUGGGUCCUCAGUGAAAGUAUCCUGCAAGGCUUCUGGCUACAACCUCAUCGACUACUAUAUGCACUGGGUGAAGCAGAGGACUGGACAGGGACUGGAGUGGAUGGGGCGGAUCAACCCUAGAAGUGGCAGUACAGACUAUGCACAGAAGUUCCAAGGACGGGUCUCCAUGACUAGUGACACAUCUUCCAACACAGCCUACGUGGAGCUCAGCAGUCUGACAUCUGAGGACUCUGCGGUCUAUUACUGUCUAAGAGACACAGUGUGGCAACCCACAUCCUAA